rnacentral:rRNA from 1 species
AACGAACGCUGGCGGCAUGCCUAACACAUGCAAGUCGAACGAGACCUUCGGGUCUAGUGGCGCACGGGUGCGUAACGCGUGGGAACCUGCCCUUAGGUUCGGAAUAACUCCCCGAAAGGGGUGCUAAUACCGGAUAAUGUCUUCGGACCAAAGAUUUAUCGCCUUUGGAUGGGCCCGCGUUGGAUUAGCUAGUUGGUAGGGUAAAAGCCUACCAAGGCGACGAUCCAUAGCUGGUCUGAGAGGAUGAUCAGCCACACUGGGACUGAGACACGGCCCAGACCCCUACGGGAGGCAGCAGUGGGGAAUAUGGGAAAUGGGGCGAAAGCCUGAUCCCGCAUUGCCGCUGGGGUGAUGAAGGCCUUGGGGUUGUAAAGCUCUUUUACCCGGGAUGAUAAUGACGGUACCGGGAGAAUAAGCCCCGGCUACCCCCGU